rnacentral:misc_RNA from 1 species
AAGUCGUAACAAGGUUUCCGUAGGUGAACCUGCGGAAGGAUCAUUAACGAAUUGUAAGAACUUGGCUGUCGCUGGCCAACCAAAAAUUCUAGCUGUUUUUGUACCAUCCGAGUCUUCCACAAAUAAACAAAACUUUCAACAACGGAUCUCUUGGUUCUG